CACGAACACAAGUCUUCAAUUUCACUCUCCUCUCUCAAUUUCUUCUCGUUGAAAUACAGUGAAGUGUGUGCUCGGGAUUAAUAACAUAUGAACUAGGUGAUGAUGGAGAUGCUGGUGGUCCUGAUCGGGCUCCUGCUAAUGGUAAUGGAGCUGGUGCCAAUGGUGAUGGAGCAAAAGUUUACGGAAUUUAAUACGAGUAAAUCGAGAUCAGUGAAGUUUGAAAGAUCCGAGCUUUGGGAACAGAGCAAAUACACGAACUGGGUAACUCAAAGAUGAAAAAAAAAAAUCAAAAUUCGAAUUGGAGAAGGAGAAAGCAAGGCAAUGAGGAGCGAGGGGAAAGCUUGUAACCAGAUAAAACUAAAUCAAGCAAAAGAUUACCAGAAUUGCAGACAAAUAGACACGAGACAGAAGAAGUAACUUCCGACUAAACCUAGGAUGAAUCUUCUUUGCUUCCGUACUCGUGUGUAUGGCUUCGAAUCUCAACGGAUUCUCUUUGUGGUUUUGUAGUAUUGCCGUCAGAUUUGAAUGUAUGAGCUUUUUGCUGUGUUAAAGCUUCGAUCGCUG